CUUUAUAUACAUACGUUGCGUAAUUAAGCUCGUCCCUUCGGGGACAUCCGAUAAAAUUGGAACGAUACAGAGAAGAUUAGCAUGGCCCCUGCGCAAGGAUGACACGCAUAAAUCGAGAAAUGGUCCAAAUUUUUUUGGCUCUUUUUGCGUGUGAUUUUCCAACAAUCCCAUUUUCCAGUUGCAGAACUCAACUAUACUGGGGCCGCAAUUCAGACAUGAAGCUUUUCGUAAAUUGCGUAGAAUCGGCUAUCGUUUGUUUCCCUAGUUGCAGAAGAUUAUAGAUCAGUUGCUGACAUUGUGACUGGCUUUGACAUUAAAACCAUUAACUUGUGGAGCUUUUACACA